rnacentral:rRNA from 1 species
AGUGAACGCUGGCGGUAGGCCUAACACAUGCAAGUCGAACGGCAGCACAGUAAGAGCUUGCUCUUACGGGUGGCGAGUGGCGGACGGGUGAGGAAUACAUCGGAAUCUACUUUUUCGUGGGGGAUAACGUAGGGAAACUUACGCUAAUACCGCAUACGACCUACGGGUGAAAGCAGGGGAUCUUCGGACCUUGCGCGAUUGAAUGAGCCGAUGUCGGAUUAGCUAGUUGGCGGGGUACAGGCCCACCAAGGCGACGAUCCGUAGCUGGUCUGAGAGGAUGAUCAGCCACACUGGAACUGAGACACGGUCCAGACUCCUGCGGGAGGCAGCAGUGGGGAAUAUUGGACAAUGGGCGCAAGCCUGAUCCAGCCAUACCGCGUGGGUGAAGAAGGCCUUCGGGUUGUAAAGCCCUUUUGUUGGGAAAGAAAAGCAGCAGGUUAAUACCCCGCUGUUCUGACGGUACCCAAAGAAUAAGCACCGGCUAACUUCGUG